AAUUUCAACUGAAAAAGUCAUGAACAUAAAAGUUGUAGAACUCAUCAAGACAUACAACUUUUAUUUUGAUCAUUUCUUUAUCCGACAAAGUUAUAGUAAAAUUAUUCGCAAAAUUUGUAUAUCUCUCUUAUAGUUUAUAAAAUCAUAUGAGAGAUGUAAAUUUUGUGAACAAUGUUACUAGAACUUCAUCGGAUGAAGAAAUGAUAAAAAUAAAAAUUAUAGAUCUCGAUAAGUUAUACAACUUUAUUAUUGAUGACUUUUCAGUUGAAAUC
rnacentral:pre_miRNA from 1 species